AGUGAACGCUGGCGGUAGGCCUAACACAUGCAAGUCGAACGGCAGCACAGGAGAGCUUGCUCUCUGGGUGGCGAGUGGCGGACGGGUGAGGAAUACAUCGGAAUCUACUUUUUCGUGAGGGAUAACGUAGGGAAACUUACGCUAAUACCGCAUACGACUUACGGGUGAAAGCAGGGGAUCUUCGGACCUUGCGCGAUUGAAUGAGCCGAUGUCGGAUUAGCUAGUUGGCGGGGUAAAGGCCCACCAAGGCGACGAUCCGUAGCUGGUCUGAGAGGAUGAUCAGCCACACUGGAACUGAGACACGGUCCAGACUCCUACGGGAGGCAGCAGUGGGGAAUAUUGGACAAUGGGCGCAAGCCUGAUCCAGCCAUACCGCGUGGGUGAAGAAGGCCUUCGGGUUGUAAAGCCCUUUUGUUGGGAAAGAAAUCCAGCUGGUUAAUACCCGGUUGGGAUGACGGUACCCAAAGAAUAAGCACCGGCUAACUUCGUGCCAGCAGCCGCGGUAA
rnacentral:rRNA from 1 species